AUUGCCCUAGUAACGGCGAGUGAAGCGGCAACAGCUCAAAUUUGAAAGCUGGCCUUCGGGUCCGCAUUGUAAUUUGUAGAGGAUGCUUUGGGGCAGCCGCCUGUCUAAGUUCCUUGGAACAGGACGUCAUAGAGGGUGAGAAUCCCGUAUGUGACAGGAAAUGGCACCCUAUGUAAAGCUCCUUCGACGAGUCGAGUUGUUUGGGAAUGCAGCUCUAAAUGGGAGGUAAAUUUCUUCUAAAGCUAAAUACCGGCGAGAGACCGAUAGCGCACAAGUAGAGUGAUCGAAAGAUGAAAAGCACUUUGGAAAGAGAGUUAAAAAGCACGUGAAAUUGUUGAAAGGGAAGCGCUUGCAAUCAGACUUGUCCUGUGUCGUUCGGCCGGCCUUCUGGCCGGUUUAUUCGGUACGGGACAGGCCAGCAUCAGUUUCGGCGGUUGGAUAAAGGCCUCGGGAAUGUGGCUCUCCCUUCGGGGCGAGUGUUAUAGCCUGGGGUGUAAUACAGCCAGCCGGGACUGAGGUCCGCGCUUCGGCUAGGAUGCUGGCGUAAUGGUUGUAAGCGACCCGUCUUGAAACACGGACCAAGGAGUCUAACAUCUAUGCGAGUGUUCGGGUGUCAAACCCCUACGCGUAAUUAAAGUGAACGGAGGUGGGAACCGCAAGGUGCACCAUCGACCGAUCCUGAU
rnacentral:rRNA from 1 species